rnacentral:rRNA from 1 species
AACGAACGCUGGCGGCAGGCUUAACACAUGCAAGUCGAACGCCCCGCAAGGGGAGUGGCAGACGGGUGAGUAACGCGUGGGAACAUACCCUUUGGUGCGGAACAACAACUGGAAACGGUUGCUAAUACCGCAUGAGCCCUACGGGGGAAAGAUUUAUCGCCAAAGGAUUGGCCCGCGUCGGAUUAGCUAGUUGGUGGGGUAAUGGCCUACCAAGGCGACGAUCCGUAGCUGGUCUGAGAGGAUGAUCAGCCACACUGGGACUGAGACACGGCCCAGACUCCUACGGGAGGCAGCAGUGGGGAAUAUUGGACAAUGGGCGCAAGCCUGAUCCAGCCAUGCCGCGUGAGUGAUGAGGGCCCUAGGGUUGUAAAGCUCUUUCAGCGAGGAGGAUAAUGACGUUACUCGCAGAAGAAGCCCCGGCUAACUUCGUGCCAGCCGCCGCAGUAA